AACCAGUCACUGGCAGGUCCCCUCGUGCCUCAGCCAGCACAAAGGUCUUUGUCCGAGGUCAAAACAGCCACUGCUUCUGGCUUUCCAAGAAGAGGCGAGCGGGAGCAACCCCCGAGAGUGGGAACAGGCAGGAGCUUGUCGGGAGUGUUUUCACACGCAGGGAAGAUGGGGCCUGGGUGGUUGCAACGCCAAGGCAGUAGCAGCAGCCUCGCUCUGGGUGUGGCCUCCAUGUGCACCGGCGGGGGACACGGCUACGAGCCACUUUCAAGGGGACAGGCAUGGACCUGGACGGGGUCCCAGACCACACUCGACGUGGACAGAGAGGCUCCAGGGCCACUCCGAGCUCUGUCUGGAGACAGCUGGCCGCACACCAGGGAGUUCUCCAGAUUCACUUCUUGGGCAGAAGACCUCCCUCAUCCACGGUGCCAGUCGCCAACGAUCAGCCACAGUCCCCAAACUAGCAUUUGUGAGUUGCAUCAGGUGCCAGUUGGAGGCUUACAACAAUCCUACCCUAACCCUUGGAGCCAUGGUCUGGGACACAGCUCUCUGCUGUGGCCUGGGAAAGCAGUAGAAGAUGGCCCAAGUCCUUGGGCAGCUGUUCCCACAUGGGAGACCCAGAAGAAGCUCCUGGCUUGGAUUGGCGCAGCUCUGGACGUUGGGGCCAUCUGAGGAGAGUGAACCAACAGAUGGAAGACCUCUCUCUCUCUGCCUCUCUUUCUCUCUCUAUGUAACUCUGACUUUCAAAUAAAUAAAUAAAUCUUUAAA